AUCCAGCUGAUGAGUUCCGAAUAGGGCUGAACGCACGUACUGGAU
rnacentral:hammerhead_ribozyme from 1 species